rnacentral:rRNA from 1 species
UACGUAGGGACCAAGCGUUGUUCGGAUUUACUGGGCGUAAAGGGCGCGUAGGCGGCUUGACAAGUCACUUGUGAAAUCUCCGGGCUUAACUCGGAACGGCCAAGUGAAACUGUCAUGCUAGAGUGCAGAAGGGGCAAUCGGAAUUCUUGGUGUAGCGGUGAAAUGCGUAGAUAUCAAGAGGAACACCUGCGGCGAAGGCGGGUUGCUGGGCUGACACUGACGCUGAACUGCGAAAGCUAGGGGAGCGAACGGG